rnacentral:misc_RNA from 1 species
GAUGAAGAACGUAGCGAAAUGCGAUAAGUAAUGUGAAUUGCAGAAUUCAGUGAACCAUCGAAUCUUUGAACGCACAUUGCGCCCGGCAGUAAUCUGCCGGGCAUGCCUGUCCGAGCGUCAUUUCUGCCCUCGAGCGAGUCCAGCAUCUAGGUGCUGGGCCCGCCCGGCGUUGGGGCACUACGGGAAGCCCUGUGCUGUCCCCCGUAGGCCCCGAAAUGAAGUGGCGGUCCUGCCGCGGCGCCCCCUGCGUAGUAUAACAGCUCGCUUCGGGACCCGGUGGAGGCCUGCCGUCAAACCUUACUCUCUAAGUUUGACCUCGGAUCAGGUAGGGUUACCCGCUGAACUUAAGCAUAUCAAUAAGCGGAGGAA